rnacentral:lncRNA from 1 species
AAAGAGAGACCGGAUACAUGGCGUACGCCUGGUCAGAAAAGCAAACAGACUGCACUAUGUUCUAGAGGCGCACACGAUAACCUUGUUGUCCAGAGUUGGUGACAAAAACCUCAGGGAUUGCACUACAAAGUGCAUGAACAGGUAUGUCUCUGCUGGUUUAGCACUGCAUCAGUCACACUCACCAGGAACUUCUGGCAGGUGGAAAACAUUACCACAGAGCACGCAAAGCCCUACCCACUGAAGACAAAAAUAAUUCCAGGUCUAAUGACCAAGCCCUGAGAAAACCCAAAGAUAUUACACCCAAAACAGCACCACCCUCAGGAUUAGCUAUCACACACACGCACCAAAACAACUGUUGUCCAUAUAAUUUAAUUUGAUGUGUCAUUUGAAACACUGGUAAAUCAAAGGAAUAUACCAAUUUAAAAAUGUCAAACUACAAAUACUGAAAGAUUGAGGACACUUGAUAUUUUAUAAGGUGCAGAAUUUUUGUCAAGUAGACAUCGGAAAUAUGUUGUAGUCCUUAAGUGUGGGUGGUGUCGGGGCCAGCAGAGGGAGUUUAGAUUGAGUGGAACAAAAACACAUUUUAAUGUAAAAGUUAUAGUACACAACUUCCUAUA